CAUCAUCAUCAUUAUCAUCACUGUUAUAUGGCCGAAAUCAGACUACGCAUUGAAGAAUGAGAUUGAAGAUUGAAAGAUUGAAGUUUGACCAAUCAGAAUAAAAGGAGUCAAAACUUCUUUGUCCUUAUUGGUAAAAUUGCAAUCUU